GGGGCUAUAGCUUAACGGUAAAGCAGGCCAUUCAUGAUGGCUGGAUUAGGGUUCAAUUCCUUAUAGCCUUA
rfam:Taphrina deformans PYCC 5710 genomic scaffold, scaffold00251